rnacentral:rRNA from 1 species
AGGAUGAUCAGCCACACUGGAACUGAGACACGGUCCAGACUCCUACGGGGAGGCAGCAGUGGGAAAUAUUGCACAAUGGGGGAAACCCUGAUGCAGCCAUGCCGCGUGUGUGAAGAAGGCCUUCGGGUUGUAAAGCACUUUCAGUAGGGAGGAAGGUAGUGUAGUUAACACCUGCAUUAUUUGACGUUACCUACAGAAGAAGCACCGGCUAACUCCGUGCCAGCAGCCGCGGUAAUACGGAGGGUGCGAGCGUUAAUCGGAAUUACUGGGCGUAAAGCGCAUGCAGGCGGCCUGUUAAGUCAGAUGUGAAAGCCCGGGGCGUUAACCUCGGAAUUGCAUUUGAAACUGGCAGGCUAGAGUCUUGUAGAGGGGGGUAGGAAUUUCAGGUGUAGCGGUGAAAUGCGUAGAGAUCUGAAGGAAUACCAGUGGCGAAGGCGGCCCCCUCGGACAAAGACUGACGCUCAGAUGCGAAAGCGUGGGGAGCAAACAGGAUUAGAUACCCUGGUAG